rfam:Stegodyphus mimosarum contig53021, whole genome shotgun sequence.
GCCUUUGUAGUGUAGUGGUCAGUACGCUCGACACGUGACCAAGAGGUCCGUGGUUCGAUUCCCGGCGAAGGCG